rnacentral:rRNA from 1 species
GACGAACGCUGGCGGCGUGCUUAACACAUGCAAGUCGAACGGUAAGGCCCUUCGGGGUACACGAGUGGCGAACGGGUGAGUAACACGUGGGUGAUCUGCCCUGCACUUCGGGAUAAGCCUGGGAAACUGGGUCUAAUACCGGAUAGGACCACUGCCUGCAUGGGUGGUGGUGGAAAGCUUUUGCGGUGUGGGAUGGGCCCGCGGCCUAUCAGCUUGUUGGUGGGGUGAUGGCCUACCAAGGCGACGACGGGUAGCCGGCCUGAGAGGGUGACCGCCCACACUGGGACUGGGAUACGGCCCAGACGCGUACGGGAGGCAGCAGUGGAGAAUAUUGCACAAUGGGCGCAAGCCUGAUGCAGCGACGCCGCGUGAGGGAUGACGGCCUUCGGGUUGUAAACCUCUUUCAGCACCGACGAAGCGCAAGUGACGGUAGGUGCAGAAGAAGGACCGGCCAACUACGUGCCAGCAGCCGCCGUAA